rnacentral:rRNA from 1 species
CAGUCGUACCAGCGGGAAAUCAACCUUUCGAGUGGGGGUUUUGGAGUUUUGAAGAGUGUCAAAACCUUUGAGAUUUCAAAAUUUUCGCUCUUUUGGUGUACUUUCUCGUGGGUAGGUUAACAUCGAUUUUGAUCAUCAUAAAAAGAUUGGAGGAAUGUAGCUUCGAUCUUGUAUUGAAGUGUUAUAGCCUUUGGUAAAUGUGAUGAUUAAGAUCGAGGAUUGCAACGAAUACCCUUUUGGGGCUAUCCGCCUGAUCUCUGAUACGUGGCCUUGGUAUCGAAAGCUUGCUUAUGGUAUUAAGGUAUUACGGUCAAAAGGUUAGAACGGAUUACA